CUGGAGCUGUGCAGAGAAGCAAAAGAGAAUUCACAUGAUGCAUUGGAACACAUUGUACUAUAGCAUAUUGGUAGAUGUUCUGAGAGGGGAGAAAGCACUGUUACCUGCAAUGUUCAGACUGUCAGAGACGCCAGCAUUAAUCAUUACCUAACAGCUAGUGAACUCCAGGGCAAUGAUAAAGAGAAUGAAAAGGCAGGUCAAGGCCACCCUUGCAAAUCCUGAGAGCUUGGCUCAAGAAUGGAGAGAGUUGCUGGGGAAAGGGAAGUGAACAAUGGAUGAAGAAGUGAUCAUUUUUUAACUGCUUAAGUGAAGGUCAAACAGGGCAAGAAGCUGAGAGUCAAGGAACCAGUUCACAAUUGUGUGAAGGGCUGUGGCUCUGACACCAGGAAGUGGAAGUGAGCACACCCAGCCUGGCAUGCCACACCGGUGAGCUGGGGGGCUGCUUGUGUCCAUGCUUUGGGAGUCCCAAGGGGUGGGUAACUUGUGGCUGGGGGUGUUUUCACUUUUCUGCUUUCCCUUGACUCUCCUAAACAUGAGUUCAAUAAACUUCAAUAACCUG